rnacentral:rRNA from 1 species
UACGGGAGGCAGCAGUCGGGAAUUUUGCGCAAUGGACGAAAGUCUGACGCAGCAACGCCGCGUGAGGGAUGACGGCCUUCGGGUUGUAAACCUCUUUUGUCAGGGAAGAUGAUGACGGUACCUGACGAAUAAGUCACGGCUAACUAC